UGGUUUUUAAGUCAGUACAUACAUCUUGCUAACAAACUCUGGCCUGAGGUUCAGACAGCUAGCCAUGGUGAGAGCACAUACGAAUGUCCUUGGAUGGUGAAAAGUCUGCUCCCAGGGGUGGACCACUACUCCUCAUGGCAACUGCCGUGAAUUGUGGUGAACGAAGACUGGACCAAUGAAUCUCCCUGACCUCUCCUAUGGCCUAUCAGAAAGCAGAGCAGUGGCCAGCAUCUGAGACAAGCAUCUGAGCGUUAUAGCAACAUCCUUGGCUUUUCUGGACAUUUCACGCUAUUGGAUUCUACCAGCACACUUUGCUCAAGUUGCAACUUGCAUCCUGAUUAUUUAGUUACUCACCACAAACGGAACAAUCAUGAGGCUCUUUGCAUGUCUGAGUUUUAGAGCAUGUGUGACUUCAAGAUGAAAUUAAAAUGAGAUUCCAUUUAAGAUCCCAAAAUUGACAGCGUAACAAUAUGGCAACCAUUCUGGAUCCGUACUCAGUACAGGCAGUUUGUGUUUGUACAGACCAUACCCAUGAGGAUGGUAUUUCCUUGAAUUUCCCCUGGGGAUCAAUAAAGUAUCUAUCUAUCUAUCUAUCUAUCUAUUGCACGUUAUGGAACGCUGUAGAGCCGCCGUUUCAGUGCCAGUUUGAUGUUUGGUCAUCUGCAUCUCUCCACAGGGCUUAGUGUGGUAUGUCAGGACGUUGACCAGUUUACUUGGUUAUGUGGUCACGGAGUCACAAACUUCCAGCAGGCCAACGACUCUGCCCCCUCUUGAACCAUCACGUGUGUGUGUGUGUGUGUGUGUGUGUGUGUGUGUGUGUGUGUGUAUGUGUGUCAGGAGUCCUGUCUCAAGCCACUGUUCAGGUGUGUGUGUGUCUGUGGGGGGAAGUAGAUGUUUGGAGUCCAGUUGGUGUUCUGUGAGGCCACAGGGAAACACUCCAAUGAUUAUUCAAUAAAACACUUUCCAUCCAUGAAGCCGUGUGUGGGGUGUGGAUUUGUGCAGUCAGUCAGACACUGUGUGUGUGUGUGUGUGUGUGUGUGUGUGUGUGUGUGUGUAUGUGUGUCAGGAGUCCUGUCUCAAGCCACUGUUCAGGUGUGUGUGUGUCUGUGGGGGGAAGUAGAUGUUUGGAGUCCAGUUGGUGUUCUGUGAGGCCACAGGGAAACGCUCCAAUGAUUAUUCAAUAAAACACUGUCCAUCCAUGAA